ACACUCCUACGGGAGGCAGCAGUGGGGAAUAUUGGACAAUGGGCGCAAGCCUGAUCCAGCCAUGCCGCGUGAGUGAUGAAGGCCCUAGGGUUGUAAAGCUCUUUUGUGCGGGAAGAUAAUGACGGUACCGCAAGAAUAAGCACCGGCUAACUUCGUGCCAGCAGCCGCGGUAAUACGAAGGGGGCUAGCGUUGCUCGGAAUCACUGGGCGUAAAGGGUGCGUAGGCGGGUCUUUAAGUCAGGGGUGAAAUCCUGGAGCUCAACUCCAGAACUGCCUUUGAUACUGAAGAUCUUGAGUUCGGGAGAGGUGAGUGGAACUGCGAAUGUAGAGGUGAAAUUCGUAGAUAUUCGCAAGAACACCAGUGGCGAAGGCGGCUCACUGGCCCGAUACUGACGCUGAGGCACGAAAGCGUGGGGAGCAAACAUUAUUAGAUACCCCUGUAGUCCC
rnacentral:rRNA from 1 species